rnacentral:rRNA from 1 species
GAUGAACGCUGGCGGCGUGCCUAAUACAUGCAAGUAGAACGCUGAAGGAGGAGCUUGCUCUUCUGGAUGAGUUGCGAACGGGUGAGUAACGCGUAGGUAACCUGCCUGGUAGCGGGGGAUAACUAUUGGAAACGAUAGCUAAUACCGCAUGACAACAGUUAUUGCAUGAUAACUGUUUAAAAGGGGCAACUGCUCCACUACCAGAUGGACCUGCGUUGUAUUAGCUAGUUGGUGAGGUAACGGCUCACCAAGGCGACGAUACAUAGCCGACCUGAGAGGGUGAUCGGCCACACUGGGACUGAGACACGGCCCAGACUCCUACGGGAGGCAGCAGUAGGGAAUCUUCGGCAAUGGACGGAAGUCUGACCGAGCAACGCCGCGUGAGUGAAGAAGGUUUUCGGAUCGUAAAGCUCUGUUGCAAGAGAAGAACGAGUGUGAGAGUGGAAAGUUCACACUGUGACGGUAUCUUACCAGAAAGAGACGGCUAACUACGUG